ensembl:misc_RNA
GCAUCAACAAAAGGAUGUUAUGUAACUGCUAUUUAUACUUGC